rnacentral:piRNA from 1 species
UGCAGUUACAGAAGGUUGUGAGUCA